GCAUGGUGGUGGUUGGGGACAGCCCCAUGGUGGUGGAGGCUGG
rfam:Equus caballus prion protein (PRNP) gene, partial cds.